rnacentral:tRNA from 1 species
GGCCUCGUGGCGGAAUUGGCAGACGCGCAGGAUUUAGGUUCCUGUAUUCGCAAGGGUGUGAGAGUUCGACCCUCUCCGAGGCCACCA